rnacentral:rRNA from 1 species
GUUGCUGGCUCCUUUGGGGGCAUGUGCACGCCUGACACCAACUUUUCUUACCACCUGUGCACUUUUUGUAGACUUGGGAAUACCUCUCGAGGAAACUCGGUUUGGAGAUUGCUGUGCGCAAGCCCAGCUUUCUUUGCAAUUUCCAGUCUAUGUUUUUAUAUAUACACCUAUAGUAUGUUGCAGAAUGUCAUUUUAAUGGGCUUAAUCGCCUUUAAAAAUCUAUACAACUUUCAACAACGGAUCUCUUGGCUCUCGCAUCGAUGAAGAACGCAGCGAAAUGCGAUAAGUAAUGUGAAUUGCAGAAUUCAGUGAAUCAUCGAAUCUUUGAACGCACCUUGCGCUCCUUGGUAUUCCGAGGAGCAUGCCUGUUUGAGUGUCAUGAAAUUCUCAACCUUUUCACCUUGAUUAGGUUUGGAUGUGGGAGUCUGCGGGCUUUUCUCAAGUCGGCUCUCCUUAAAUGUAUUAGCGGGGACCUUUUGGUUACCCCAGCCCUAGUGUGAUAAUUAUCUACGCUAUUGCUGAAGUGACUUGGUCCAGCUUCUAAUCGUCUCUUCUGAGACAAAUCUAUAUGACAAUUUGACCUCAAAUCAGGUAGGACUACCCGCUGAACUUAAGCAUAUCAAUAAGCGGAGGAAAAGAAACUAACAAGGAUUCCCCUAGUAACUGCGAGUGAAGCGGGAAAAGC